UGUGAGGGAGUAAGGGUUUUGUGGUACAAGGAAGGGCUGUUUGCUUUAUGUAAGGUAAUUCAGUCUUAAAUGCAUACUGGUAAAGAUUUGCUCCUUCUUAUAAGCAAUCCUUGUUGAUUACUGUGCUGUCAUCCUGCCAGUUUAUAGUCUUUUAAUCUAACAAUAAUUUAAUGCAAAGUCCCCAGACAUAAAUAAAGACUGCUGUUAUCUCUUUAACCAGAAAAAAAACCCCUAAAUGAGAGGGAAGAUGAUCUGGUGGGCAGUCUGGUUAGAGGAGAAAGGAAUAAUCCCAGAGGCUUCUCAUUCAGCAUAUUGGGCUGUGGACAAAAAACAAACGCAGCUCUCCCUCUGACAGCAGCUUGCUGCGCAAAGCUGUUACAUGCAGGUUGGGUGGUCAUCACAUGUCUGACCGGCAGCUGGUUCUCCUUUUUCAAUAGCAGCUGUUCUGGUUUGCUUUGGCAAAGAAGCUGGAAAUACACAAAUUCUUUUAAAAAUGAAAUUACUUAUUUUGGGGGUUACAAUAUAAUAGCAAAACAUGAAACAGCAGAGCCCACACUUCCAAGCAUCUGUAAACAGAGGUGGAUGGUGCCUUUGUACUGUCCUGUCAGCUAGAACAUGUUUCCUGGCUGGAUGUAAGCACAUGGGGCUAGAACAUGUCUCCAUUAGCUGCAUGUGCUGGGGCUUCUUGGCAUGGAAGGGAACAGUCAUCUCUGCUUUCGUCAGACCAAAUGGGGAGUUCUCCUUUCUCCAGAGGCCAUGAACAGGGAGACUAUGAGAGAGAGGCAAGAGCGGGGGGAGAGCUGGAAGGAGAUGCAUCAUUUGCCCUCCACAUGCUGGUCCUGAAACCAGGAAGAUCCUGGGUUUGUGUUUCAUUCUUUGCAGGUCCACGUGGAGAGACUGUCUUUUGUUAUAGUGCCCAGGAGAAGAAAUGGGAUCCCACUUUGAUGAAGCCAGAGACAACAAGUUCUGCCAUGGCCUUGUGAACUGGACAAAUGGAGAUGAAUCAUGGAUUGAAUAAACUGUUUGCAUUUGUGA